AGUGAACGCUGGCGGUAGGCCUAACACAUGCAAGUCGAACGGCAGCACAGUAAGAGCUUGCUCUUACGGGUGGCGAGUGGCGGACGGGUGAGGAAUACAUCGGAAUCUACUUUUUCGUGGGGGAUAACGUAGGGAAACUUACGCUAAUACCGCAUACGACCUACGGGUGAAAGCAGGGGAUCUUCGGACCUUGCGCGAUUGAAUGAGCCGAUGUCGGAUUAGCUAGUUGGCGGGGUAAAGGCCCACCAAGGCGACGAUCCGUAGCUGGUCUGAGAGGAUGAUCAGCCACACUGGAACUGAGACACGGUCCGGACUCCGACGGGAGGCAGCAGUGGGGAAUAUUGGACAAUGGGCGCAAGCCUGAUCCAGCCAUACCGCGUGGGUGAAGAAGGCCUUCGGGUUGUAAAGCCCUUUUGUUGGGAAAGAAAAGCAGCAGGUUAAUACCCCGCUGUUCUGACGGUACCCAAAGAAUAAGCACCGGCUAACUUCGU
rnacentral:rRNA from 1 species